UACGUAGGGGGCUAGCGUUGUCCGGAAUCAUUGGGCGUAAAGAGCGUGUAGGCGGCCCGGUAAGUCCGCUGUGAAAGUCGGGGGCUCAACCCUCGAAUGCCGGUGGAUACUGUCGGGCUAGAGUGCGGAAGAGGCGAGUGGAAUUCCUGGUGUAGCGGUGAAAUGCGCAGAUAUCAGGAGGAACACCGAUGGCGAAGGCAGGUCUCUGGGCAUCUACUGACGCUGAGAAGCGAAAGCAUGGGGAGCGAACAGG
rnacentral:rRNA from 1 species